rnacentral:sRNA from 1 species
GUGCAUUUUUGGCAGGCAGUCAGCCGAUGCAUUUUCAGCAGACCGCAAGAUCUGCAAAUGUCUUACUACCCUUCUUCCCCAUUAUGUAUACAAACGACGAAGCUACUUAAAACAGGCGCCAAGAGCAGCUGCUAAUGGGAUUACACUAGGCAUCGUGGAUUCAGCUUGUGGAGAAAAUUUGGCAAGGUUGACAAGGUUGUUGCUGCAGCCCACAAUAUACAUGGGCGAGCUGACAAAAUAAACUGAUGGAUACACUUGGCAUAUUGUACAUAUGCAAAUGCCGGCAGCAAUCGGGCCUAGACAUGCCAAUGCGAGCCAAGAGAAGCCGAGCCGAGCUCAAGCUGUAAAGGAUGUGGCGUCGACAUUCUUCUUGUCUGCCUCAACUUCAAUUGUAUGCACUUCGUGGCAGUGGCAGUGGCUGUGGCAGUGGCA